AUGAGCACCCCCGGCCCGGCCUCCCCGGCGCAAAUGCGCGCUCCGCCGGCCCCGCCGCUCCCGGCCGCGGUGGGCUGGGAGCUGGAGCGGAUCGAGGCGCGGCUGGAUCAGCACGCCGACCCGCGAGCGCGGCAGAUGCUCGCGGACAUCGGCGAGGCGGCCGCGCUGCGGGUGCUGCGGCUGAUAGGGGAGUCGCGGAAGCCCGUCCGGAACUUCUCCGGCUAUAUCAUGUGGGCGGCGAGGAACGUGCCGGACGCCCCUAGCGCCGAGAGCGCCAUCUACGCCUCCGGCCCCUCCAACGGAGAUGACUCUGUACUGGGACCAAUGCACGAUGAUGAUGUUCAAAUGGACGAUAACGCUCCAGGCAGUGAAUUGGCUUUCAAUCUCUCAAACCAUGCCAUGAUCGAGGUCGAAAGCCCUGCCCAUCAGACGCCUCACGGUUUACAUAGCAACAACAACAGGAGCCCUGUUGGGGCAGUUGUUUGCUUGUUGCCGAACCCAGUUGCAAUGGAGGUUGAUAAACCUGAUUGCAAUGUCCCAGAAAUGUUACCCGUGAUGCCAAACCAAGGAGGAAUGGAAGAGUUUGUCGAGCAUCCGUCUUUCAGGAUGCAAGACCAGGUACAACCGUUGCAGGUUGAUAGUCCUACCCCGCCAUUGGCCCAUGGGGUGCCAGACCAUGCUAUGGUGCAAGUUGGGAGCCCUGGCCUCGGCAUGGUGUCUGGGUUGCAGCAUCAGGUGGGGUUUGAUAGCCCGGUCCGGCAGAUUAUUCCUACGUCUCCAAGGAUGGUUUCCACCCCAAGUCCAGUGCGCGAGAUCACAAGGCGUGUGCAUCAAAUGGGGUGCCCAUCAGGAACUGUGGGGGUCCAAGCAUCACCAACCAUGGAGUGCAUGAUGCCAGCAGACCCUCUUGUUACUGCAAAUGCAUCAAGGGCAACCGUGAGCCAUCAGUUGUUAGCGUUGGGAGAGCUAGAGUUUGUUCAGAUUUUCAUGAUAUAUGUCUAUCUUGCAGGUAAGAAGAUAGAAGAUGUGGGUGUACUACAUGAGGACUAUAUUAGGUCCUUGAAUUCACUGCCCAUGGAUCGUUUUGAGUUGGAAAUAUGGAACAAAUUUGGUCACGAGUUUCUAACAGAGUGUGACAGGAGACAGAAUCUUGAUUGGGACCCAAGCAAGACAAGAGUGUACCAUUGCCAUAUUGAGCAAAGAGGCGAUUCCAUAGUUACGGUUUUCAAGGGGCCAUAUAUAGAGAACGCAAGGACUAGUCUACAGAAAGUUGUUGGGGACGACAAUGUUCUUGUUGUGAACUUUUCAGAUAUAUCUGGGCACACCAAUGCUGGUGACAACUUCGAAACCGGCUGUCACUUUUACCAUCACGUUUUUGAAGAUGGCAUCAUCUUGGGUUUGCGUCGCUAUCGCUUUUUGAGUAAGUUUCAGUGUCUUGGAAUGAAGGUUAAAUUUUAUACUAGACGUAAAUUCCUUGUUUUUCCUCUUGUUGGCGCCUAUCUCACCUAA
rnacentral:rRNA from 1 species